ACUAUCUCACCUCAUCUUUCUUUCCAUUUCAGUAAUCUUAAGUAUCCACCGGCAGAUAAUUUAUGUUGCGAACUUGGAAUGUAGCUUGGCUCUGUAUUUUAGCUAGAUCAUUUGAUAGACUUGGCUCUGUAUUUAGCUAGAUGUUAUAGUUAUAAAGAUAAUUUAGGUAGAUAAUUUUAUACACUUGGCUCUGUAUUUUAGCUUAUCUCAUAUCAUUGUGUUGCUAAUUCGACAGGGUUGAGGGCGAUGUGAGCAGGUGCUUUGAGUCCCCACAGUCAACCACUUCUUGAGACUGUCGUUACGAGACAAAGAAGUCACAAGACGAGCAGUCACGAGAGUUUUGUAUGCGAUCGUUUUGUAUGUUUGUGACAAGAUGGGUUUAUAUGUUGGUCACGAGAUGGUUUUGUCACAAGCACGUUUUGUAUGUUUGAGUCGAGAUCGUUUUGGUAAUGCAAGUCUCUCUUACUCUAUAUAAACUCAUUGAAGUCACAAGUUUUAAACACAACUCUCGAGCACUUCUUCUCUCUUGCUUCUUUCUCUCCUUCUCACCAAGUUACAAUCAAAAAUAACUUGAUCACAAGGCUCAUACACUCCUUUUCUCAUUUUCUCAUUAUCUAAUUGUCUUAAAAAUACUUAUCUUAUUUUUAAUCACAAACUCUUCAUCUCGCAAUCUCUCAUUCUCUCCUUUUCCUUGAUCACAAAACUUCUCUUAAUCACAAACUCUUCAAAUAUCGUCAAAAUAUGAUAUCUGUUCAAACAAGAAUUUGUGAUAGACAAAUGCAUCAACAGCUCAAAGCGGACUUUGUUGAACAUAUAUGGCGUAAAUUUGAACGUGAUGGAGACAACUACUAAGCUCGAAUGUUUUUCCAAAUUAUUCUCGAUUAUUGUACUAGUCUUUAUUUUUAUGUUUUUUUAAAAUAAUUAUGUUUUAAAUGUUAUCUUUUAAUAUGUUUGAAUUAAUAAAUAAAUUUUAUCUUUAAA